rnacentral:rRNA from 1 species
CCUAGUGGCGGACGGGUGAGUAACGCGUGGGUAACCUGCCUUACACAGGGGGAUAACACUUAGAAAUAGGUGCUAAUACCGCAUGAGCGCACAGGACCGCAUGGUCGAGUGUGAAAAACUGAGGUGGUGUAAGAUGGACCCGCGUCUGAUUAGCUAGUUGGUGAGGUAACGGCCCACCAAGGCGACGAUCAGUAGCCGGCCUGAGAGGGUGGACGGCCACAUUGGGACUGAGACACGGCCCAAACUCCUACGGAAGGCAGCAG